GAGUGACAGGGGAGGUAGUGACAUAGACUGCCUCCAGAGUAUCUUUUACAGGGACACGUCUAGUGCCAGCAGCCGCGGUAAUUCCUUCUCUCCUCUCGUAUAUGAGAAUUGUUGCAGUUAAAACGCUCGUAGUUGAAUUUCUGCUGUAUUGCAUUUUCUCUUUUUAUAUGAGUUCUUGCAUUAUGGCUCAUUUCAGUAUUAAUUAUUUAUUAUUACUGAAUGUUUACUUUGACAAAACUAGAGUGCUCAAAGCAAGCUUUUGCCUUGAAUAGUUUAGCAUGGAAUCAUAAAGUACGACUUUGGUUCUAUCUUGUUGGUUUUAUGUACCAAAGUCAUCGUUAUUAGGCACAGUUGGGGGCAUUCGUAUUUAACUGUCAGAAGGUCACAUUCUUAGAC
rnacentral:rRNA from 1 species